rnacentral:rRNA from 1 species
CGUGCCUAACACAUGCAAGUCGAACGGAAGAUUAUCGCUGAUGAAGCUUCGGCAGAAUCUUGAUGAUCUUAGUGGCGGACGGGUGAGUAACGCGUGGGCAACCUGCCUCGUACUGGGGGAUAACAGCUGGAAACGACUGUUAAUACCGCAUAAGCGCACGGUGUCGCAUGACACAGUGUGAAAAACUCCGGUGGUACGAGAUGGGCCCGCGUCAGAUUAGCCAGUUGGUGGGGUAACGGCCUACCAAAGCAACGAUCUGUAGCCGGACUGAGAGGUCGGACGGCCACAUUGGGACUGAGACACGGCCCAAACUCCUACGGGAGGCAGCAGUGGGGGAUAUUGCACAAUGGGCGAAAGCCUGAUGCAGCGACGCCGCCGGUGAGUGAAGAAGUAUUUCGGUAUGUAAAGCUCUAUCAGCAGGGAAGAAAGACCCAUUAAGGGAGAUGACGGUACCUGACUAAGAAGCCCCGGCUAACUACGUGCCAGCCGCCGC